rnacentral:misc_RNA from 1 species
GUGCGCUAACCGCGAGAGGGCAAGCUAACCACGGGUAGGGUCAGCGGACUGGGGGUGAAGUCGUAACAAGGUAGCCGUAGGGGAACUGCGGCUGGGAUCACCUUCCUUUCUAAGGAAGCUGUGGAAUUGGUAAGACGACCGGCCUGAUCUUCGGAUCUCCCCGGUAUGAACCUUCCCGUGCUUUUUUAGAACAUAGAUGGCGCCAGUGAGGCGACCAUCGAAACGCAAUACGCCGCGUAGACUUCCGGUCACGACGGGUAUGGGGGAGCUUUUCGCCUCCCCCGUUUCUCUUUCUUCAAGAAGAACAAAAAAACCGUAUCGGACCCGGUUCCCCCAAAUGGGCCCCUUAGCUCAGUUGGUUAGGGGCACCCCCUUGAAAAAGCGUGGGGGCCGAAGUUCCAAGUCUUCCCGGGCCCACCAUUUGCAUCUUCAAGUGAGGGUAAGGGAUGAUGGAAUAUGGCAAAUCGGAUUUUGGCCGACCUGGGUUAUCCCGGGCGAUCCGGCUGGAUGGGGCUGUAGUUCAGCUGGGGAGAAGCCCCUGCUUGCCAAGGGGGGGGUCAGCAGUUCGAUCC